ensembl:lncRNA
CGCCUGCGUGUCAAUGGAUAAACUCUCUAAUCUAUCAAGGUGUUAACAAACAUCUCCCCAUGCGAUGACAUGGCACCAGGACAGAUUUAUUGUGAAGAUGAAAGCCCACAAGAGUGUGCACGGUUAUCAGACCAGAGGGGAGACUCGUCGUAUAGUCCUUUUACUUGCUCACUUUCCCAGUAAACUAGUAUUUUCCUCCCACAGUGGCACUAGCAGACCAAUAGGGAGACUUGUGAAGACCUAAAAGUCAUACGAAUACGUUAAAUAGGUACAGUGGUGCUGGCUGGCCAGCUGGACCAUCGUGAGGCAGGCGGGAAGAGUCAUCACCAUAAAGAAGACCAUUUUAAAUGUUUUGAGAUGAUAUGUGUUCUCUAAAUAUUGUUGUAUAGUCUUUCUAAUUAAGUACAUUAACUCUUCAAACUUUUACCAUUUAUUUCCCACUGGCAAAAUGUGUUAUCUAUGGUUUUACUUGUAUAUGUAUGUUCAUUCAUGAAAUGUGGUUAAUAUGCUGGUAAUUCUGUGUUGUUAAAGUUCAG